UACGUAGGGUGCGAGCGUUACUCGGAAUUACUGGGCGUAAAGCGUGCGUAGGUGGUUUGUUAAGUCUGUUGUGAAAGCCCCGGGCUCAACCUGGGAAUGGCAAUGGAUACUGGCAAGCUAGAGUGCGGUAGAGGGUAGUGGAAUUCCCGGUGUAGCGGUGAAAUGCGUAGAGAUCGGGAGGAACACCAGUGGCGAAGGCGGCUACCUGGACCAGCACUGACACUGAGGCACGAAAGCGUGGGGAGCAAACAGGG
rnacentral:rRNA from 1 species